GUGAGGAGCGCCUGCCAGGAUGGAGUGAUCUGCACUGUCAAAUGCCGCUGAGACAUCAAGUCGAAAGACGCCUGGGAACUGACCAUCAUAUUUAGCAAUGUGGAGGCCCCAGCUGACCUUCACAGGGGGAGUUCCAGUGGGGUUGUGGUGUAAAAGCCUGAGUGGAUGGAUAAGAAGGGAACUGGAGGAGAGGAAUGGAAGAUGGCAAGCAGCAGUAACUCAGGGUUUGGCUGCAAAAGGGAGCAGAUAGGACAGUAGAUAAGGGAGGAGGUGAAGAGGGGACUUUUGUCAAGCAGGAGGCAUUACAGCAGAGUAACCCAGCAGAAGGUGGGAAUGAUGACGGCGGUGAGAACAGAGGCUUGCUGGAGUAAAAUCAAAGGGGAUGGGGCUUAGCGCAGAAGACCAGAAGAGUCUCUGCAGAGGAGUUUGGCCAGAUCCUCUAUGGCGAAGGGGUGGACAUUUCUUGUUAAACUAACGUCCAAUUUUGCAAUGACUUCUAAGCAGUCAUCGUUAGCACCAAGACUUUUACAAGGAAGAUGUUUGUUGAAGUACCGAGGGAUGAACAGCCUUGACAAUGGGUCAUUGGGCAAAUGCGACUCCGGAAUAAUUCACCAGAGUAUGGACGUCCGGGAAUCGAAAAGGAACUGGCCAGCCUCCUACCAUAAGCCCUGCUAAACAGAACAGACACUAUGAAAUUUAAAACCACAGACAGCAUAAUUAAA
ensembl:lncRNA